GGCAUGGAUUAGGCAUGCAAGUCGUGCGGAAAGGCCCCGCAAGGGGUACUCGAGCGGCGGAAGGGAUAGUAAUGCGUGGAUACCUGCCCUCAGGCCUGGGAUAGCUGCUGGAAACGGCAAUUAAUACCAGAUAACGUCUCCGGACCAAAGGUGUGAUUCCGUCUGAGGAGGGGUCCGCGUCCUAUUAGCUAGUUGGUGAGGUAACGGCCCACCAAGGCAACGAUGGGUAGCGGGUGUGAGAGCACGACCCGCAUCACUGGGACUGAGAUACUGCCCAGACACCUACGGGUGGCUGCAGUCGAGAAUCUUCGGCAAUGGGCGAAAGCCUGACCGAGCGACGCCGCGUGCGGGAUGAAGGCCCUCGGGUUGUAAACCGCUGUCAGUGGGGAGGAAGGCUCUGUGAAGAGCAGGGUUUGACCUAUCCGCAGAGGAAGUCCGGGCUAAGUUCGUGCCAGCAGCCGCGGUAACACGAACCGGACAAACGUUAUUCGGAAUCACUGGGCUUAAAGGGUGCGUAGGCGGCCUGACAAGUUGGGUGUGAAAUCCCUCGGCUCAACCGAGGAAUUGCGCUCAAAACUGUUGGGCUCGAGGGAGUUAGAGGUAAGCGGAACUUAGGGUGGAGCGGUGAAAUGCGUUGAUAUCCUAAGGAACACCAGUGGCGAAAGCGGCUUACUGGAGCUCUUCUGACGCUGAGGCACGAAAGCUAGGGGAGCGAACGGGAUUAGAUACCCCGGUAGUCCUAGCCGUAAACGAUGAGCACUGGAUCGGAGGACACUCCAUAGUCUUCUGGUCGUAGCGAAAGUGUUAAGUGCUCCGCCUGGGGAGUAUGGUCGCAAGGCUGAAACUCAAAAGAAUUGACGGGGGCUCACACAAGCGGUGGA
rnacentral:rRNA from 1 species